AAAGACUUAGUUAAUUUCCUAUAACAUUAAAUUGUCAAUUUAAAGUAAUUUAAAUAAUUUUCUUUA
rnacentral:tRNA from 1 species